AAUAAGUGUAGCCAUAAGUUUCUGUACCCAACUUUGAUUGUCCGUUUUAUUUAAAAUUUUUUAUAAUUAGUAUUUUUGUUGUUAUGAGAUGAUAAAACAUGAAUAGUAUUUUAUUCGUGGCUUAUAUUUUUAAUUUUUUCAAAAAGUUUUCAAAUAAGACGAACGAUCAAAGUUAGACGCGGAAAAUCAUAACUGCACUUAUU
rfam:Oryza nivara chromosome 8, whole genome shotgun sequence.